rnacentral:rRNA from 1 species
GACGAACGCUGGCGGCGUGCCUAAUACAUGCAAGUCGAGCGAAGUUUUUCUGGUGCUUGCACCGGAAAAACUUAGCGGCGAACGGGUGAGCAACACGUAAAGAACCUGCCUCAUAGACUGGGACAACUAUUGGAAACGAUAGCUAAUACCGGAUAAUAGCAUUAACUGCAUGGUUGAUGUUUAAAAGUUGGUUUUGCUAACACUAUGAGAUGGCUUUGCGGUGCAUUAGCUAGUUGGUGGGGUAAAGGCCUACCAAGGCGACGAUGCAUAGCCGACCUGAGAGGGUGAUCGGCCACACUGGGACUGAGACACGGCCCAGACUCCUACGGGAGGCAGCAGUAGGGAAUCUUCCGCAAAGGGCGAAAGCCUGACGGAGCAACGCCGCGUGAGUGAAGAAGGAUUUCGGUUCGUAAAGCUCUGUUGUUAGGGAAGAAUGAUUGUGUAGUAACUAUACACAGUAGAGACGGUACCUAACCAGAAAGCCACGGCUAACUACGUG